CCUAACCCAAGUCGCCGCCCCCGCCGGUACCACCAUAUCUGACCACAGUCGGAUUCACCUGCACUAAUGGGCUAUGGACCAAAUUUGGGAGCUUAUAGAAGGAAGAAAUAUGGAGGAGAUGAGAAGGAGAAAUAUGGAGGAGAGGAGCUGUCGAUGCGGCUGUUGCUAAGAGAAAUAAGAAAGGAGAAGAAUGAAAAGAGAACAGGGCUGCUGGUGCACCUAAUUAAAAAAAGGAAUAAGAUCGACGGAAUUCCGUCGAGUUUAUUUCUGUCGCCUUUACCUAUUUUCGACGAAACAUUCUGUCGACUUAACACAUAUUCCGUCUACCUUAAUACUCGUGCCGGAGGGAAAGCUGGACGUCAAAGAGAGGGGCUUAAUUCCGACGAAUGUCCGUCGACUAUAGUCUAAUCUCGACGGAAUUAAUAUCAACGUAAUAUUUAGU
rnacentral:lncRNA from 1 species